UACGGAGGAUGCGAGCGUUAUCCGGAUUCAUUGGGUUUAAAGGGUGCGUAGGCGGUUUUUUAAGUCAGUGGUGAAAUCCUGCGGCUCAACCGUAGAACUGCCAUUGAAACUGAAGAACUUGAAUAUAGUUGAGGUAGGCGGAAUGUGCAGUGUAGCGGUGAAAUGCUUAGAUAUUGCACAGAACACCGAUUGCGAAGGCAGCUUACCAAGCUAUUAUUGACGCUGAGGCACGAAAGCGUGGGGAUCGAACAGGAUUAGAUACCCUGGUAGUCCACGCCUUAAACGAUGUUCACUCGCUGUUUGCGAUAUACCGUAAGCGGCCAAGCGAAAGCAUUAAGUGAACCACCUGGGGAGUACGUCGGCAACGGUGAA
rnacentral:rRNA from 1 species